CCUACGGGAGGCAGCAGUGAGGAAUAUUGGUCAAUGGACGAGAGUCUGAACCAGCCAAGUAGCGUGAAGGAUGACUGCCCUAUGGGUUGUAAACUUCUUUUAUAUGGGAAUAAAACGUUCCACGUGUGGGAUUUUGUAUGUACCAUAUGAAUAAGGAUCGGCUAACUCCGUGCCAGCAGCCGCGGUAAUACGGAGGAUCCGAGCGUUAUCCGGAUUUAUUGGGUUUAAAGGGAGCGUAGGUGGAUUGUUAAGUCAGUUGUGAAAGUUUGCGGCUCAACCGUAAAAUUGCAGUGGAAACUGGCAGUCUUGAGUACAGUAGAGGUGGGCGGAAUUCGUGGUGUAGCGGUGAAAUGCUUAGAUAUCACGAAGAACUCCGAUUGCGAAGGCAGUUCACUGGACUGCAACUGACACUGAGGCUCGAAAGUGUGGGUAUCAAACAGGAUUAGAUACCCUAGUAGUC
rnacentral:rRNA from 1 species